rnacentral:rRNA from 1 species
GAUGAACGCUGGCGGCGUGCCUAAUACAUGCAAGUCGAGCGAACAGACGAGGAGCUUGCUCCUCUGACGUUAGCGGCGGACGGGUGAGUAACACGUGGAUAACCUACCUAUAAGACUGGGAUAACUUCGGGAAACCGGAGCUAAUACCGGAUAAUAUAUUGAACCGCAUGGUUCAAUAGUGAAAGACGGUUUUGCUGUCACUUAUAGAUGGAUCCGCGCCGCAUUAGCUAGUUGGUAAGGUAACGGCUUACCAAGGCAACGAUGCGUAGACGACCUGAGAGGCGGAUAGCCCACACGGGAACGGGGCCGGGGUCCAGACUCCUACGGGAGGCAGCAGUAGGGAAUCUUCCGCAAUGGGCGAAAGCCUGACGGAGCAACGCCGCGUGAGUGAUGAAGGUCUUCGGAUCGUAAAACUCUGUUAUUAGGGAAGAACAAAUGUGUAAGUAACUAUGCACGUCUUGACGGUACCUAAUCAGAAAGCCCCGGCUAACUACGUG